UCGGACUGGGCUGGACUAUCUUCAUCACUAUCACCAAAUGAAGUUUUGUUUCCCUUCCAACGAUGGCCAGCAAUUUUCAUUGGCAGGCCCUUUAUGCCAAGACCCUGCUUGCCUGAAGUAGCUUUAUCCUGCAGCAAAUCACAGACCAUGCAUAUAUUAAGAAUUCAGGUACAUUUAAUUGUUUUAAAGAACAUGUCUGUUAUGUAAUCACGCACACAAUUAUCAAUGUAAUAAAUCAACAUCUAGGUUUGUUCAUCAAGUGAAAAUGGCAUAAUGUAAUCUAUGCGGAGUGAAAUGAAUUGAUAAUUUUGCUUAAGAGGUAGUUGAAAGACUGUAAAAUCACAUCUUGAGUGCACUCAGCAUUCACAUCACAUCUCCAAAUUUGAAAACUAAAAUAGCAAGAUCUCUGUUUAACAUCACUAUAAUCUGUGUACAGCACAUCAUACCAAUCAACCUGAACAAGAUUGUACAGAUUUUCUUGAUCUUCCUCCGCAAAUGUCUGGCGGACAUUAGAAGGAUCUUUUCGUGAAGAUCUUUUUUUACGAGAUGUUGCUCCAAGAAACCCUCCUGACACAAAUCCAAAUUUGUGCCCCCACCAGUUUACAUCUUCAGCUUGGGAUACUGCACAAGCAAAGAGUUGACAAAGCAAGUUACUAAAACCUCUAUGAAAUUUAGCACACAAUGAAGAAAAGGUACAA
rnacentral:lncRNA from 2 species